rnacentral:pre_miRNA from 1 species
UAUUAAAAAAUUCAUCUAAUUCUAUUAUCAAAAAACUGGUAUGGUUAACAGAAUAAUAAAAUAGUAAGAUGUGGUGUGCUAUGUGUACCUCAUGUUAAAGUAUAAAGAUCAAUUUUUAAUAGUAAAAGUAGAUAAAAAUUUUAGUA